rnacentral:rRNA from 1 species
GUGACUGCGUACCUUUUGUAUAAUGGGUCAGCGACUUAUAUUCUGUAGCAAGGUUAACCGAAUAGGGGAGCCGGAGGGAAACCGAGUCUUAAUUGGGCGUUAAGUUGCAGGGUAUAGACCCGAAACCCGGUGAUCUAGCCAUGGGCAGGUUGAAGGUUGGGUAACACUAACUGGAGGACCGAACCGACUAAUGUUGAAAAAUUAGCGGAUGACCUGUGGCUGGGGGUGAAAGGCCAAUCAAACCGGGAGAUAGCUGGUUCUCCCCGAAAGCUAUUUAGGUAGCGCCUCGUGAAUUCAUCUCCGGGGGUAGAGCACUGUUUCGGCUAGGGGGCCAUCCCGGCUUACCAACCCGAUGCAAACUGCGAAUACCGGAGAAUGUUAUCACGGGAGACACACGGCGGGUGCUAACGUCCGUCGUGAAGAGGGAAACAACCCAGACCGCCAGCUAAGGUCCCAAAGUCAUGGUUAAGUGGGAAACGAUGUGGGAAGGCCCAGACAGCCAGGAUGUUGGCUUAGAAGCAGCCAUCAUUUAAAGAAAGCGUAAUAGCUCACUGGUCGAGUCGGCCUGCGCGGAAGAUGUAACGGGGCUAAACCAUGCACCGAAGCUGCGGCAGCGACGCUUAUGCGUUGUUGGGUAGGGGAGCGUUCUGUAAGCCUGUGAAGGUGUGUCGUGAGGCAUGCUGGAGGUAUCAGAAGUGCGAAUGCUGACAUAAGUAACGAUAAAGCGGGUGAAAAGCCCGCUCGCCGGAAGACCAAGGGUUCCUGUCCAACGUUAAUCGGGGCAGGGUGAGUCGACCCCUAAGGCGAGGCCGAAAGGCGUAGUCGAUGGGAAACGGGUUAAUAUUCCCGUACUUGGUGUUACUGCGAAGGGGGGACGGAGAAGGCUAUGUUGGCCGGGCGACGGUUGUCCCGGUUUAAGCGUGUAGGUGUGUGUUCCAGGUAAAUCCGGUUCACUUUAACACUGAGGCGUGAUGACGAGGCACUACGGUGCUGAAGUAACAAAUGCCCUGCUUCCAGGAAAAGCCUCUAAGCAUCAGGUAACAUCAAAUCGUACCCCAAACCGACACAGGUGGUCAGGUAGAGAAUACCAAGGCGCUUGAGAGAACUCGGGUGAAGGAACUAGGCAAAAUGGUGCCGUAACUUCGGGAGAAGGCACGCUGACACGUAGGUGAAGUGAUUUACUCAUGGAGCUGAAGUCAGUCGAAGAUACCAGCUGGCUGCAACUGUUUAUUAAAAACACAGCACUGUGCAAACACGAAAGUGGACGUAUACGGUGUGACGCCUGCCCGGUGCCGGAAGGUUAAUUGAUGGGGUCAGCGCAAGCGAAGCUCCUGAUCGAAGCCCCGGUAAACGGCGGCCGUAACUAUAACGGUCCUAAGGUAGCGAAAUUCCUUGUCGGGUAAGUUCCGACCUGCACGAAUGGCGUAAUGAUGGCCAGGCUGUCUCCACCCGAGACUCAGUGAAAUUGAACUCGCUGUGAAGAUGCAGUGUACCCGCGGCAAGACGGAAAGACCCCGUGAACCUUUACUAUAGCUUGACACUGAACAUUGAGCCUUGAUGUGUAGGAUAGGUGGGAGGCUUUGAAGUGUGGACGCCAGUCUGCAUGGAGCCGACCUUGAAAUACCACCCUUUAAUGUUUGAUGUUCUAACGUGGACCCGUUACCCGGGUUGCGGACAGUGUCUGGUGGGUAGUUUGACUGGGGCGGUCUCCUCCUAAAGAGUAACGGAGGAGCACGAAGGUUGGCUAAUCCUGGUCGGACAUCAGGAGGUUAGUGCAAUGGCAUAAGCCAGCUUGACUGCGAGCGUGACGGCGCGAGCAGGUGCGAAAGCAGGUCAUAGUGAUCCGGUGGUUCUGAAUGGAAGGGCCAUCGCUCAACGGAUAAAAGGUACUCCGGGGAUAACAGGCUGAUACCGCCCAAGAGUUCAUAUCGACGGCGGUGUUUGGCACCUCGAUGUCGGCUCAUCACAUCCUGGGGCUGAAGUAGGUCCCAAGGGUAUGGCUGUUCGCCAUUUAAAGUGGUACGCGAGCUGGGUUUAGAACGUCGUGAGACAGUUCGGUCCCUAUCUGCCGUGGGCGCUGGAGAACUGAGGGGGGCUGCUCCUAGUACGAGAGGACCGGAGUGGACGCAUCACUGGUGUUCGGGUUGUCAUGCCAAUGGCACUGCCCGGUAGCUAAAUGCGGAAGAGAUAAGUGCUGAAAGCAUCUAAGCACGAAACUUGCCCCGAGAUGAGUUCUCCCUGAGACUUAAAGUCUCCUGAAGGAACGUUGAAGACGACGACGUUGAUAGGCCGGGUGUGUAAGCGCAGCGAUGCGUUGAGCUAACCGGUACUAAUGAACCGUGAGGCUUAACCUUACAACGCCGAAG